rnacentral:pre_miRNA from 14 species
CAAGUGGGUCUCUGGAGAGGAAGGUGGUCGCUUAUCCCAGAUGAUCCCCCAAAUGAAAGACUCCCGAAGUACAGAGACCAUCACUCAAGUCUUUGCAUGACACGACCCCCCAAGAAUUCACAAGAGACU